rnacentral:rRNA from 1 species
CGGAAGGAUCAUUAUCGAACUCGCUCGAGAAAGCGUGGAGGGGGGGAAGACGAGCGGACGAAGUUUGGUGGGGGUUGUCGCUGGCCUUCGGGCAUGUCGCACGCCUCUGUCUUAGUCUCCGUUCCCUUUCUUCUUUUGCGUGGACUCGUUCUCUCAAACACCUGUGCACCCGUUGUAGGCUUCCUCGCAAGGGGAGACCUAUGUCUUUUCAUAAACUCGUAUGUAUACAGAAUGUCUACGUUUCAACGUCGUCCGGCUCGGGCGAUGGCGAAUCGAAAUCAUAAACAACUUUCAGCAACGGAUCUCUUGGCUCUCGCAUCGAUGAAGAACGCAGCGAAUUGCGAUAAGUAAUGUGAAUUGCAGAUUUUCAGUGAAUCAUCGAAUCUUUGAACGCACCUUGCGCUCCUUGGUAUUCCGAGGAGCAUGCCUGUUUGAGUGUCAUCGAAUUCUCAACCAUGUCUCGAUUGAUUUCGAGCGCAUGGCUUGGAAGUGGGGGCUGCUGGCGGCGCGAGCUGUCGGCUCUCCUGAAAUGCAUUAGCAGAGGUGAGCCUUUCGUGCACGGCCUUCGACGUGAUAAUGAUCGUCGUGGCUGGAGCGAGGGGCAUGAAUCGUCGCUGCUUC